rnacentral:rRNA from 1 species
UACGUAGGGGGCAAGCGUUGUCCGGAAUCAUUGGGCGUAAAGAGCGUGUAGGCGGUUCGGUAAGUCGGCUGUGAAAGUCCAGGGCUCAACCCUGGGAUGCCGGUGGAUACUGUCGGACUAGAGUACGGAAGAGGCGAGUGGAAUUCCCGGUGUAGCGGUGAAAUGCGCAGAUAUCGGGAGGAACACCAAUUGCGAAGGCAGCUCGCUGGGACGUCACUGACGCUGAGACGCGAAAGCGUGGGGAGCAAACAGG